AAUAGUUGUUCCAGACACCUUGGAGGUCUGUCUCCAGCUCAGAUUAAGUCACCAGGUGGAACAGAUGGCAUGGAAAGCUCAGAGUGUGCUGUCCCAUCAUUCUCAAGCAAUACCUGGGUGUCUAGUAGGGAUGGAGGCUUAGGUGAGGUGGCCUCCUGAAGAAUCUCCACAAGGCCAACCCUGGAGACCAGCAGACUCUCCCUUCCAGGAUCCCACAGCUGCAGUUUGGGAAGCCUCCAGGCCUGGAGCAUGGAGAGGAGAAGAGGAAGGGUCAGGAAAGUCUGGUGAUGACCCAAAGAGUUCAAGCUGAGGUUUCUCAGAGGGCACCGUUGUGGGCUCUUCCGAUGACACCCUGCCUGUCACCUGCAGCUUCCUCAUGUAGCCUUGGAUCUCCUUCCUGGUGGGUGCUCCUGACAUCUCCUUCAGCCUCCAAGCCUUUCGCAGUCCACUUCCAGCUUCCUGCCAUGCGUCCCUCCACCUCCAGCAGGCCUUUUGGGUGGGAUCUACAACCACCCAUGCUGGGUGCCUCACAUCUGUGCAGCCCAACAUCUGGCCCACGGAAGCCAUCCACUUCCUUCACCCCAACAAAGUCAUGGAGCCUGGGGGCCCCCACAAGGUCACCUCUCCUCCAUUCCACCAUCAGGACAGCUUGCCGCCUGCUGUCUCUACCCAAUACAGCUCUCAGACUGAAUCCAACUCAGCUGCUACAUCUCCCAGACUGCAGGGGCCACAACCAUCUUUCCAAGUUGUGACCCUAUCUCAAGCCUCUCCCUAGGUUUGAGAUAAGAUGCAGGAAUCUAACCCUCUCCUCCCCCAGGGUCACAGCACAACUACCAGCUGUCUCCAAAAGUCCUCUCCCAAUCUUCACACUCCUCACAACUUUCUACCCUUGAUGUGUGUGAGGGAUUCAUUCCUCAAAGAAGGUUUCAAUACCUUUUGGCAUGUGCUUCACACUGGCCUCCCACCUCACUCUGACAGAUAGCAUAUAUUUUCUUGGGACUUGCAUUAGUCAAGAUUUAGCUGCAAACUACAAAAUCCAAGCUACGGAUUUUAAGGAGAAAGAGAUUUUUAAAAUCAAACAUUAAAUGCUUUACAGAAUCAGAUCCUAUGUAAUUUCUGGGCAUCACUCUUAAAGCCACAGGAUGGGCUACUAAGGGACCACUGCCUUUGCCACAGUCAACACCCUUUCCAAAUCAGGCAACUUUCCAAAUCUGGAAGCUGCCAUCACAGCCCUGGCUAAAGAACCCCUCCAUCUCACCCAUAGUCUACCGGCACAAUGGAUGCCUCUCUUCCCAUUCUAGCUCACUUCCUCAUUUAAGUCUCAUACAAAUACAUUGAAUGGGUGGGACCUAAAAUAUAUCUGGAACCCUAGCUGCAAAGGAAUCAGAAAUGAUCUUGUAGACCUUUUACUAUAGAAAGACCCAUGAAAAAGAGGUGGCAGCCACUCAUAGUGGCUCACACCUGUAAUUCUAGCACUCUGGGAGGCUAAGCUGGGUGGAUCUCUUGAGUCCAGGAGUUCAAGACAAGCCUGGCCAACAUGGUGAAACGUUGUCUCUAUGAAAAGCAAUAAUAAUAAUAAUAACAAGGUGCAUUGGUGUGUGCCCACACUCCCAGCUACUCAGGAGGCUGAGGUGGGAGGAUCACUUGAGCCCUGGGAGGUCAAGGCUGCAAUGAGCCAUGAUCACACCACUGCACUGCAACCUGGGCGAAAGUGUAAAACUCCAUCUCAAGAAAAGAAAAAGAGAGACAGAAGAAGAAAAAAGAAAGAAAGAAAGAAAGAAAAGAAAAGAAAAAAGAAGGAAGGAAGGAAGGAGAAAGAAAAAGAGAGAGAAGGAAAGAAGGAAGGAAGGAAGGAAGGAAGGGAAGAAAGAAAGAGGUGGCAAUGAAUAUAUAGUGAGUUCACAGUGUCUACCUGAAUACUCUCAGCCAAAACUGAGAUCACAAUAGUUAAAAUUUAUAAGUUUUGUUGUUUCUUUUGCUGUCAAUGAAAGUCAAAUAUGACUAAGUGAAAAAUAAACAUAUAGUAUUUGCUUUGUUAUGUCAAAUAAACGCUAUUUGUAAAAAUAUAGUAUUUGCCUUGUUACACCAAAUAAACCCUAUUCUGUAGUAUAAACGUUAUAGUAACAAAUUUUCA